GACAGAGGUGCCGAGCGUUAGGCGGAAUCACUGGGCUUAAAGCGUGUGUAGGCGGAUGGGUAAGUACCUUGUGAAAUCCCACGGCUCAACCGUGGAACUGCUCGGUAUACUGCUCGUCUUGAGCCAACUAGGGGCGACCGGAACAAACGGUGGAGCGGUGAAAUGCGUAGAUAUCAGGAGGAACACCGGUGGCGAAGGCGGGUCUCUGGGCCGAUACUGACGCUGAGGAGCGAAAGCGUGGGGAGCGAACAGG
rnacentral:rRNA from 1 species